rnacentral:rRNA from 1 species
GAUAUUGUUUGGUUUGCAGUUAAAAGCUCGUAGUUGGAUUUCGGGUGGGUGUCGCCGGUCUGCCUCUGGUAUGUACUGGCGCUGCUCACCUUUCUGCCGGGGACGGGCUCCUGGGCUUAACUGUCUGGGACUCGGAGUCGGCGUUGUUACUUUGAGUAAAUUAGAGUGUUCAAAGCAAGCCUUCGCUCUGAAUACAUUAGCAUGGAAUAACACGAUAGGACUCUGGCCUAUCUUGUUGGUCUGUAGGACCGGAGUAAUGAUUAAGAGGGACAGUCGGGGGCAUUCGUAUUUCAUUGUCAGAGGUGAAAUUCUUGGAUUUAUGAAAGACGAACUUCUGCGAAAGCAUUUGCCAAGGAUGUUUUCAUUGAUCAAGAACGAAAGUUGGGGGCUCGAAG